AGUCAUAGAAACAGCCAAUCAGAGCCCAGCAGGCUCUGCUAAAAGUUGCUACAGGGCCUGAACAUGUCAGUUCCUGGCUGGGGAUAGAGGGGCAAGGAAGGAUUGUCCUCUUUAGCCAAAGGGUGCUGGACAGGCUGCAUUUGCUAAACCUGGGGAUGAGAGGACCUGAAAACGCUAGCCCUAAGGUGACUUGGCUGGAGGUCUGAACCACUGAAGACCUGCCUAGUGAGGUUGCCAAUCUACAGGAGAUGCUCAAGAGAUUUUGCUGAAGACUCAAAGCUACCACAGACGCACCAUUUUCCUCCUGGCAUACCAUCCCUGACACUGGAAAGGAGACCAG